rnacentral:rRNA from 1 species
UCUCCUACGGGAGGCAGCAGUGGGGGAUAUUCCACAAUGGGGGAAACCCUGAUGCAGCGACGCCGCGUGGGCGAAGAAGUUUUUCGGUAUGUAAACCUCUAUCUCCAGGGAAGAUAAUGACGGUACCUGACUAAGAAGCACCGGCUAACACGUGCCAGCAGCCGCGGUAA